ensembl:miRNA MIR1306 microRNA 1306
UUCCAAGCGCUGCCCCGUGAGCAGUCUCCACCACCUCCCCUGCAAACGUCCAGUGGUGCAGAGGUAAUGGACGUUGGCUCUGGUGGUGAUGGACAGUCCGAACUCCCUG